rnacentral:sRNA from 1 species
CCCAGUUUACAAUAAUUAACUACAUUUAUAAAUAAGUUGUAGUUGGGAAGAUGGCUCCGUAGGUAAGAGUGCUUGCUCUGUAAUCGGGACUGUCUGACUUUGAAUCUCCAGCACACAUAUACUGGAGAAUAUUGGACAUAAUUUGAAUAUUUUAAGGAACUUUGCCUGUGUGAUGUUCAGGUGCUCCAUUAAGCAUCUUUGGAGAGCCAUGGCCUGAUUAUAAGAGCAGCAUGCCCCACACAGGACUUGGUUCCGAGCAUUCGUAGGUACAACGAUGUCAAAUGGUGUCUCCAGAGUUGCAAUCUGUAACCAACCCCGACUACUAGUUUCCUGAUAUCCCAUGAACCCUGAUGCUCAGAAAUGAUCAAUUAAAUGUAAGGCCUGUCAACUUCCUGAAAACUUUCCUAAACACCUGGGAUUAAAGGUUACAAUACACAAACAGAAGCCUUCUUGUUCCUCCAGCAUGCAAUCAUCAUUAGUCAAGCUAUUCAGGAGAAACCAAAACACCUCUCUUGCCUGCAGGUGCCUUGGCUGGCUGCCCACCAUCUGGCAGCCCCUUGUUCUCACCUGGCUGUCCCGCUGAAGGGGGCUCCAACAUGGAGCAGGUGCAGGUGCCCUCACAGCUCUGUCAUAUUGUCAUUCACUCUGAGGGACCCAGGGGAGACUGGCUUUUGUGGAGCACUAGAAGAGGCCUUCUCAGCCUUGCUCCAGAGUAGGGAAGCACACAUGGGAUUUUCCUUGUCUUUCUUCUGCUGAUUGACACCACAGGGGUGCAUCUUCUUGGCUUCAUUGGCAAAGAGCUUUGGGAUUAAGGAGCCUAUAUAAAUGGAAAUUAUCUUAUCAUUGACAGGAAAAGGGCACAUAUUCUGCUUCCAUUUUACAUCCCUAAGGUCAGUGGGCUUGCUCAGUGACAGACACAGGCAGGAGAAGACUGUCCCCUCCCCUGACUCCAUUUUGGACCUGUACCUGCCUUGCUUCAUGCUGGGAUUAGCUCUAAGUUUCUUCUGACAACCUAGCUAUGGGUCCUCCCCAGGGUCAUCCCCUCAAGAUACAUUGCAGAAAGUUUCCAGCUACUAAGAUUAAAGUGGAAACAUAAUGCCAAAGUUGGCAAGGAUGCAGGAGAACCAGAAGAACAUCAAAGAUUGAUUGAUUGAUGGUGACAACAUGAAGUGGGAUGCAUCAUGGAGACCCAAGAAGCCUUGACUUAAGAUUCUUUUUCUUUUUUAAAUUGGGAAUUAGGAAAGCAAUACAUAGCCAACAUGAGUCAUGUUUUGAAUUUUGGUAUUUUCUGAGUUCAUGGUCCAUGUCAAGAUUGUCUUUCUUGCUGGGCAGUGGUCCUGAGAAGAUAAACUACCAAGACUCUCUCCACUGUAGUAUCUGUAGUAUACAGUGUUACCCAGUUGUGAUAUUUAGCAGGUGAGGUGCAGGGAAGGCAUUUUUAACCCCUGUUAUUUUCAACUUCUCAAGUUUAUGGGAUGUAAUGCUAACAUGAGUGAAGGACUAUCUGUGUGCUAACACUGAACAUCCUGUACUCUGACUUAGCACAUCCAUGCCUGAUCAACGGAGAUGAAAUAGUUCAUAAGUCAGCAAAAUAUGUAUAUGCAGUGACCACAAUAUUUACUCAUAGCUCAAAUCUGGACGCGGCACACCUGCUUAUCUCCAGUUUUCUUCACAAACACUCGAGGCCGAGAAGGCUAAGGAGGCUAAGAAGCUUCUGAAACAGGUGGUUUGUUUAGUUCCCAGUUCUAAGGUUCAAGAGUGUAGUAAACAUUGGUUAACUCAGUGAGUGAGGGGCUCAAUGCAGAAAGUAGGAGAGUGUUAGGACAGAUGGAGAGGGAGAGAGGGAGGGAGGGAGAGAUAGAGAUAGAGAGGAAGGGGGACAGAGAUGGAGAGAUCAUAUUAUCAGACAGGAGUCCAGAGUGAGAUGCUCGACCAAAACCACAGCAAGCAAUGUCUAUAGCUCAAUGGUUUGCGAUUCUUUGUGUCUAGCUCAAAGUCCAAAAUAGUUCCCUUGCCCAUCUCAAGAUGAAAUUGAUGAAGAGUUCAGUUGCACACAAUAGGAUAGUAAACAAUAACAGGAAUGAAUAAACUCAGCUCUCUACCUCAAUAUGGAUGAAACCCACAAGUGUAAUAUUGAGUAGCCAAACAUGAACAGACACUAUCACUCCAUUCCGCUGACUCAAACCCAGACAAAAGAAAUUAUUAAUGUUGAGAACAGAAGAUGGAAACUGGUCAGGUAAAUGCCCUUGAUCCUGUUGGCAAGGAUCUGUAUGAAGAGAGUUCUAGCUCCUGGUGUCUUGCUCCCCUUAUCCUUGCCUGGAAGCUGUAUUUGAGGAUAUGAUGGAACCUGAGAGGGGGCACAGAGGCACUGAAAGGGUUUUGCAGAAAAAGGGUUUCUUGGUGAUUGGGGCCAAGGGAUGCUACAAAAAUCCUGCCACACAACAGGACUCACACAAAGACUUAUUGGGGAGGGGCAUAUACAAUGACUGCCUCUGAUCAGGGAUGGAGAAUGUCAGAGCAGGGUGUAAUUGAAGGCUUUAUAGGGACAUGCACAUUUGAGAAAAUUCAUCACAUUAAAUGUGGGGGAGGGGAUGCGGUGUGUAUUAGAGCUGAGUCAUUGAAGGCAGGGAGGAGCCUGGUUCUGGAAUGUGCCAGUUCUUGGUUGACAAACAUUCCUCUCUUGUGUUUAUCAUAAGGGUAAGGAAAUAGAAAGGGGUGGCUGGUGAGCUAGGAAUGGGGGUGCCAUGCUCUUUAGGCUGUCUGGGGACAAUGACAUCUUUGGGAACCCAUAAAAGCUGGAAUCCUGGGCAAUGUUGGGAAGAGCAGGCAGUUUCACUCUGUCUAGACUCCCUCUGUGGGACUAUAGGGAAGUCAGGCCUCAUUGGGGUAGUUUGUAGUCUUUAAUUGAUUGGAAAUCUACUAGAACACACGCACACACACACACACACACACACACACACCACACACACACCACACACACACCACACACACACACACAUAUAUUAUGGAUAGAAGGUAAGUUAGGGAGUUUAGAGGGAAAUUUUUAUGUUGGAUGAACAUUUAAAACUUCAAGGCCCAUGGUCCUGGUAGUUGGGAAAGGGGAGUCCCAAGACCAGGAGAACAGAAAUUCCAUCCUCAGAAAUAAGCAAGUGAAAACUUAGGGGUACUUAUCUGGAGUCCAUUUGACCUGUGAGAGGUGGAUUCAAGUUAAUUCCCUGAAGCUUUCAAGAUUCUUUUUUCCUUAAGUUUACAUAAAGCAAUAAGAGCUUUGAAUAUGUUAGCACUAACACUGUUUGUAAUCCGAGUUGAAACCCACGCUGUAGAAGAGACAGUAGACUCAUGCCUUUGAGCCAUAGUAAAAGCUUUGAAACCCAAAAAUGAUUGUGGGUUAAAAGCGUGAACACUCUUCCCAGAGGUCUCCGUAUAUAGAUUGGACAGAGAUGUUUCCAGCACAGUUGAGAAGCACUUUGAGGCUAUUCUUAGAAGACAACCAAAGGAAAUUUAAAGUCUUGAGCUUGUGACUAUAAUAAUAGUAGUCAGAGCUUACCAGAGCUAGAUUAAUAGCUUAUCAGGACUCCAUUGUUAAUGUUAAAACUCUGAACUUUUGAAGUCUUAAUCCAACAAUAGCACGGAGAGAGAAAGGAAUCGGAAACAUUUUUCAUUUUUCAUAUACUUUAAAUCACUUUCUUAUACCUUUACAAUGUGCAUUUACAUACCUUAAAAGACCUUCUUAGAUCUCUUUAUAACUUACAUAAACCUAAUUUUCCCCCAUCUAACCAUUUGUCAUGAGACAAGUGGUUGGUUAUUGAGAAGUCAUUGCAAAGCAAGUUCCUUUAAACAAAGAAUAAUAAAAAGUUAUUUGGAAACCUGUUUUGUGAAUAUAUGUCUUUUUAGAGUCUGGUAUCAAGGUAAACUCUCUUUCUCAACUGGAGACUGGCAGCUCUAGGAAGGUGAGGCCCGAGGCCUGAUUUCAGUGACCUUAAGAGGCAGUUGUCCACUUGGGGAAGGAACUCAUAUGCUUGUAGCUGUUGAACUGACAAAGCUACAGUUAGUCAAUAUCGUCAGAGAUCUGAGAAUAAAUUAUAGCAGGAAGUAUGAUCCAAAUGUCUUAUAUAUCAACUAAAAUGAUAGAGACUUACCUACUAUCUAGAUGGUUGACCUAGGCCCCAGUGGUCUCUGGUCUCCAUGGCUUUGCUGGGGGCAAUGGCCAUAGGUCUUUAACUGUCAUUCAGGACAGUGACCACAAAGAGCAGCAUUGGCCUUUGGCUGCCAGACUCAGGUCAGAGAGAUUUUCUUGUGGAGAAGGAACUUGGGAAAAGUGAUAUUACUUUGACCAGGCAGAAUAUGGAAAUAAAUCCAAAAGAUUCCACAGUUUGUGCAAAGCCCUGGCAGCGACUGAGGCACAGGGCAGUUUUUCCCAGUGGUUAGUAUUACCACAAUUGAGGUGGACUUAUUGUGCUCCAUCUGGCUUCUUUGUAGAAAAUAGAGGUCCUGGCAAGUCAAUUACGGGAAGUGUUUUUAUAAUACGUUUUAAAGGCCAUAUUCAGCAGAUCGCUGAAGAGUUUGAGGUCUUGAAAAUACAUUAACUUAUAUGUCUUUUU